rnacentral:rRNA from 1 species
GUGUCAGCCGCCGCGGUAAUACGAAGGGGGCUAGCGUUGUUCGGAAUUACUGGGCGUAAAGCGCACGUAGGCGGAUCGAUCAGUCAGGGGUGAAAUCCCGCAGCUCAACUGCGGAACUGCCUUUGAUACUGUCGAUCUAGAGUAUGGAAGAGGUGAGUGGAAUUCCGAGUGUAGAGGUGAAAUUCGUAGAUAUUCGGAGGAACACCAGUGGCGAAGGCGGCUCACUGGUCCAUUACUGACGCUGAGGUGCGAAAGCGUGGGGAGCAAACAGGAUUAGAAACCCUCGUAGUCC